UACUAGCUGUUUGGGCUUUUCAUGUCAUCUUCAGAUUAAACUUUCUUUUGCAUUUUGUUAAAAAUUUUGCUGUUACUUAUUUGAAAGAAUGAGAGAGAAGAAGAGACAGGAAGAGAUCUUCCAGCUGCUGGUUCACUCCCCAAAGGGCCACAAUGCUCGGGGCUAGGCCAGGCUGAAGCCAGGAUCCAGGAACUCCACCUAAGUUUUCCAUGUGGGUGCCAUCUGCUGCUGCUUUCCCAGGUGCAUUAGUAGAGAGCUGGAUUGGAAGCAGAGCAGCUGGGACUUGAACCACUGCUCCUAUAUGAGAUGCUGUCAUUACAGACAGCGGCUUAACACAAUGUGCCAUCAUCCCUAUCCUUAAAUUGUCAAGUAAACGGGUACUUGUUUAUAUUUAGGUGUUUUUUUUUUUUCUGGGUAAAUAGGAUGGCUUCCUGAUUGAACUUGGUAAGUUUUUCUAGAUUUCUUCUACACAUUUUGAAAUUGAAUUUGUUGUCAUAUUUAUUUUAAAGAUUUUGCUGGUUAUUUGAAAGUGAGAGGUAGAGAUUCCCUCUGCUGGUUCACUCCUCAGAUGGUCUCCAUAGCCAUGGCUGAGCCAAGGCAAAGGCAGGACCAGGCACUUCAUCUGGGUCUCUCACAUGGGUAGCAGGGGCCCAUACACUUGGGCCAUCAUCCCCUGCUUCUCCUAGUCCCUCAGCAGGGAGCUUGAUUGGAAGUGGAGCAGCUGGGACACAACUGCACUGAUACUGGGUGCAGGCAUCGCAGGUGAUGGUUCCACCCAUUUUGCCACAACACUGGCCCUCAUGUUUUUUGAUGUAUAGUCCUUUAUUCUGUUUUUUCUUUUUAAAAAGAUUUAUAUAUUUAUUUGAAGGUGGAGUUACAGAGAGAUGUAGAGCCAGAGAGAGAGAGAGUGAAGUCUUCCAUCUGCUGGUUCACUCCCCAAAUGGGUAUAAUGGCCAGAGCCUGGCUGAUCCAAAGCCAGGAGCCAGUAGCUUCUUUCAGGUCUCCCACAUGGGUGCAGGGGCCCAAGGACUUGUGCUAUCUUCCACUGCUUUCCCAGGCCAUAACAAGAGAGCUGGAUCAGAAGAGGAGCAGCCGGCCCAUAAGGGAUGCUGGCAUUGCAAGUGGUGGCUUUAUCUGCUAUACCACAGAACCGGUCCUUCCUUUAUUCUUGAAUUGAGGUUUAAAUUUUUUUAAAAUUUUCACUUGAUUUUAUUCUUUUGACAGGAGGAAAUAUAGAAAUAGACAUGGAAUGAGCUCCCAUCUUCAGGGUCAUUUCCCUAGUGCCCAGAAUAGGCAGAGCUAGGCCAGGCUGAAGCUAAGAACUCAGGAACCAAUUUGAUCUCCAUCACAGGUGACAGGGAUUUAGUGACUUGAUCUAUCAUUUGUGCCUCCCAGGGGUGCAGUUUAGCAGGAAGCUGGAAGUGGAGGUGGAGCCGGGUAUUGAACCCAGGCACUUUGCUGUUUGGAUGCAGGCAUCCUGAGUGUCAUCUUGACCACUGCUCUAGAUGCUCCCCCUUUAACUGAGUUUCAUAUAGGAGGUGUGGUUUUAGUUUGUAUGUUUAGCAUAAAAGGAUAUCCUAAUAGAAUAGUCAUGCCUACCAGGACAGUGCAGUUAUUAAGUAGCUGCAUAGGCCACAUAUUGGCCAUUCUUGUGAACACUGUUCAGUAUACCAGACUUAAAUAUGAGCUUUAGAAGUAAAGGGUGAAACACCAUCCUCAAGAGUAUUUUCUUUUUUUAUUCAGUUUGUUUAUAUGAGAAGGAGAGUCACAGAGACAGAGAGAGCUGUAACUGCUGGUGCACUCUGAGAACCUGCAGUGGCUGUGGCUGGACCACACCUGAAUCCCAGAGAUGGUAACUCAGUCCAGGUCUCCCAUAUUGAUGGUAGUGAUCUAGUUACUUGAGACAUCAUUGUUGUCUCCAAGGAAGAGUGAUUAUUGGGAAGCUGGAAUCAGAAGCCAGAGCUGGGAGUCAAACCCAGGUACUCUGAUGUGGGACUUUGGCACCUUAAGCAGCAUCUUAACUACUGGGCAAAAUGCUCACCUCCUCCAGAGGAUUAUUAACGCUUUGUAAGACAUUAUUUGUGGUUAAACUAUCUUAAGUAAUGGCAGAGCUAGAAUUGGGAAGACCAAAGUGAAGAGACUGUGUAAGGAUUUUUAUGAUUCUUCAGUAAAAACAUUUAGAGCCAGCACCUCUCUCCUGGCUUCGGAUCACCACAAUGCACCGGCUGCAGCGCGCCGGCCGCGGUGGCAAUUGGAGGGUUAACCAACGGCAAAAAGAAGACCUUUCUCUCUGUCUCUCUCUCUCACUAUCUACUCUGCCAGUCAAAAAAAAAAAAAAAAAAGAAUGUAGAGAGGAUCAAAGGCGGGUAAUAAAACCAGGAGACAUAUCACUAGAGAGAAGUUUGAUUUGUAAUGGUGGAAGGAGCCACUAAACAGGAGACCUCUUUACCAGUAGUUGUUAAUGGCCUUGAUAUAAGAUAGCUAAAGCAGCAGGACAGCAGUAGUUCGACAGUCCACCAUCACUGUGAGAGAUUUUGAACACCUGUCUCUCAGUAACUAAUGGAAUAAGCAGAUAAAAACUCAGUAUGAACAGAAAUACUGAAACAUCACUGUUACACAGCUGAAUUGGCAUCUCAGAAGGAUAAGUGGAAAAUCAUUGAGUGUUUCACAAGUAGGCAAAGCUUUUCUAAAUAAUCCAAUUACAAUUGCCAAUAAGAAAUAGUAAUUUAAAUUAUUUGUUUUAGUUAUAAAUAAUUAAAAUUAUGACAUCUUAAACCUGACAUUAAUGAAAAUACAGCAUAUCUAAUUUGAUAGGCUUCAGUUAAUGCAGUGAUUAGAGGGAAAUUAUUAACUUUAAAUGUACAUAUUAUAAAGGAAGGAAUGGUGAAAAGCAGUUAGCUAAGCUUCUAUCUCAAGAAAGUAAAAGAGGCAAGCGCCUUGGCUCAGUAGGGUAAUCCUUUGCCUGUGGUGCCAGCACACCAGGUUCUAGUCCCAUUCAGGUUGCUCCUCUCCCUGUCCAGCUCUCUGCUGUGGCCCGGGAGUAAAGUGGAGGAUGGCCUAAGUGCUUUGGGCCUGCACCCUCAGAGGAGACCGGGAGAAGCACCUGGCUCCUGGCUUCUGAUCAGCGCAGUGUGCUGGCCACAGCGCGUAGGCCGUGGCGGCCAUUGGGGGGUGAACCAACGGAGAAGGAAGACCUUUCUCUCUGUGUCUCUCACUGUCCACUCUGCCUGUCCAAAAAAAUAAAAACAAAAAAAGUAAAAGAAUAGCAAAUUAAACCCACAGCAGUUAAAGAGAGGAUGUAAUAGGAUGACACUGGAAAUGAGCGCCAUUCAGAGCAGACAGAAUAAAGACAGGAACAAACCCUUGGAAAGCUGAUCCAGAACACAGGGUGGUAGACAGUGACUGACAGGGAGAAGGAUUCACUGAGUACUGAUAUCAGAAAGCAAAAGGGAACUUCACUGCAAACUCCAGAGAUGUUAGAAUGUUUGAAUAUAUCUUAUCAUGAAAUUUAACCACAUGUACAAAACUGCAGAAAUUUUAUUAAAACAUAUUUUUACCAAAACUGUUAUCAAGGAAAAAUAGGAAAACCAGAAAAAAAUUGUCAAUUAAAUAACUUCAAUCAAUAAUGUAAGACUUCUUCACAAAGGAAAUCUCAGACCUUUAUAUUUCACUGGUAAGUGCUUCCAGGAGUUUAAGUACCACUGUCUUAUUUUCUUUGAAAUUUGAGAUACUUUUAAGAUGUAUACAUGGAUCUCAGAAAUAGCAAGAGAGACCUGAGCUGGAAAUACACAUGCAAGGUUCAGUAUAUAGACAGUGUUUAAAGCAAUGAUCAUGAUGUGAUGCCUGAUGUACGAGGAUUGCAUGAGAAGAUUAGUGAUGCAAGAUCAAAGUCAGUUUGAAUUUCUGGUAUGAACUAGCAGUGGGACCAUGAAGACAGUACAAGAAGUUAAGUCAUAAACCACACCAUAUGUUUUCAUGGAAACCAGGAGGAGCCAGAAUCUUCAGAAUGCUGUAGUCAGUUUGUAAUGUACUUACAAAUCCAGAAAUAUGAAGACAAAGACCAGCUUAUCUGUAAGAUGAAGGUCUUUGGGCACAGUCAACACUUGAUAGUCAUCAUGGGAAAGAGUUCUAGAAGCUUAGAUUGUAAAAUAUGGGUUAUUACUAAGGUGUAGGAUGGUUUUUAGAGUAGGUCAAAUUAAGGUUUUCGUUUUUGUACUGAUAUUUAUCUAUUUAAAGAUUUAUUUAUUUGAGAGGAGAGUUUGAGAGAGAGAGAGCAAGAGACAGAGUCUUCCGUCCACUGGUUCAGUCCCCAAAUGGCUGCAACAAUCAGAGCUGGGCUGAUCCAAAGCCAGGAGUCAUAAGCUUCUGCUGGGUCUCCCACAUGGGUGCAGGGGCCCAAGGACUUGGGCCAUCUUCCACUGCUUUUCGAAAGCCAUUAGCAGGGAGCUGAAUCAGAAGUGAAGCAGCUGGGAUUUGAACCUGUGGCUCGUAUGAGAUAUUAGUGCUGCAGGAGUGAAGGGUUAAAAAGUUAAAAGCUGCUUCCCCCCAAACCUCCUCUGGUGAACUUUUCUGACCUCAUUAGACUUGCUCUGCAUAGCCGUUAGUCAGUAAAUUACCCCAAUGUGAGCAUAACCUCAGUUUCACCUAAGUGAGAUAGAAGAAGUCACCAUAUAUCUCUGCCUCCUGGACCCCUGACUCCACCAUGUGUCCCUUAUCGCCAUUCGGCUGCAUUCCUAGGUAUCACUCCCUGUAUUCAUAAAUCAACUGGUUGUAAAAUCACUUAACUUGUAUCAAUUGUUUACUCUAUACCACUGUCUGCUCUAUGCAAUGAUUGAUUUUCUUUGUUUAAACGUGUAUAAAAACCCCAACCCAAGACUAUUCGAGGCCGCUCGCCUGUACUGGGACGGGGGCCCCGACAUGUCGGAACAUCAAUAAACUUUACCCUUUGUUAAUUACAUGAGAGAAGGUCUCUUGGAGCGUUUUUGGGGUGGCAAGAGUAAUUCAACUCUAAUUCAACUGUAACAGGAGAAGCUUAACCUACUGUGCUACAGUGCCAACCCCAUCCACUGAUGUUAUUAUCCAUCUAUUCUUGGGCAUGCUCCUUUGCUUCAUUUCUUUAUUUAUCAUUAAAUUACAGUUUAUGAUUGAAUAUGCUUUAGUGAAUAAUUGUUAGAGCUGAAGAAAAUAAGUUACAUACAUUUUAUAAAUGAAUGGAUUUGAAAAUUCUUACUGUUUCUUAAAAAAUCAUUUAUCUAUUCAUUUAUUUGAAACAUAGAGCAUCAGAGAGAGUGCUGAGAGAGACAGAGAUUUGUACUGUCUACUGGUUCACUGCCCAAAUAGCUGUGACUAUUUGGGCUGUGCCAGGCUAAAUCCCGAAGCUAGGAAUUUCAUUCACAUGGGAGACAGGAGCCAAACUACUUGAGCCAUUUAAUAUUGCCUUUCCUGGCACAUUAGCAGGGGCUGGAUUGGAAGUGGAACACCCAGGACUCCAGCUAGCAUUCCAGUGUGGGAUGCUGGUGUCAACAAUGACCCCUCGUACUUAUACAGACUUCUUUCUGUAGUGCAUCCUUGUGUUCUAAGGGUGUGUAGAGACAAGCCAAGGACCAAGACUCCUGGCUUCUUUCUUCUUUCUCCUGGUUCUAGAGUAGGUUAGGGAAUCUUUUUUUCUGCCUAGUGCCAUUUGGAUAUUUGCAACAUCGUAUGUGGGCUGAAUAAAAUUAUCAACUUAAAAGUUAGCCUGCCUUAGAUUUAUCAGAUUUUGAGUCCUGCCUGUGGUUGCCUUGGCAGGGCUGAACCAGAUGAUGUCAUGGGUUUAUUACAGCCCAUGGCCUGGACGUUCCCCAUCUCUGUUCCUGGGGAACAAAGUAUAAUGAUGAGAGGAAAGUCCUCCAGGUGAUGGGAUGAGUCCACACUGACCUCCCUACAUGAGGAGCUGGUAGGUGCACACAUGUGUGCAUGUCAUACAAGUCCUCACAGAGGUGUUUUGUGAAGGCACUUCCACUCAGAGCAGUCUAUCACUACACUUCUGAUCCUAUUGUUUGCUAUGAAUGUAAUUUUAACCUUGUAAGGGAUCUUCAGAAGGUUGAUAGCAAAACGCAAUUGAAUGAUAACAUCCCUGGAAACUUUUAAAGCCACCUUGACAACACAGAUCAGUCUAGACCCUCGUCUCUGUCAUGUAAGCCCCUUGCUUUCCUCUCUUGUCUCUGGAAAUUUAAGCCCAUUGUCUUGUGUUGUGUCCCCUUCCACCCUGUGCUUUGCAAGGUGAUGUUUCUGCCUGCUUACAAUCCUUAGGUGAUCAUACCUAGUUUAACAGUCCAUUGCUGUUAAUAUUCAAAUGCUUUUCUGAAAUUUCCCUUGGACUGCAGACUCAAUCCAUCUUCUUACUUCAAGUGUGUGUAGAGACAUAGUGCAGUGGGUGUGAGUGGGUGUGUCUGAGCUGCUGCUCCUGUACCUACUGUGUGAUAGCCAGCACCUCUGCGACUUAGUUUCUUCAUGUAUAAACUGGGAAUGCUAUUUGUCUCAUAGGCUUUCAGUAGGGUAAAAUAAGAUUGAGACAAGGGGCCGGCGCUGUGGCAUAGUGAGUUCAGCCACUGUUUGAGGUGCUGACAUGCCAUAUAGCUUCUGGUUUGAGUCUUGGCUGCUUCACUUCUAAUCCAUCUCCCUGCUAAUUGCCUGGGAAAGAAGCCUAGGAUGACCCAAGUGCUUGGCCCCCUGCACCCAUGUUGGAGACCUGGAUGAAGCUCCUGGCUUUUCCCUGGCCUAGCCCUGGAUGUUGUGGCCCAUUUGGGGAGUGAACCAGCAGAUGGAAGAUAUCUCUUUGUAAUUCUUUUAAAUAAAUAAAUCUUCAGAAAAAAGAUUAAGAUAAUACAUGUAAAAUGUUUAGAAGAGAUUAUUAUAAAUGUUACCUACUGUGAUUAGCCUCACCAUCUCAGACUUUACUCCAGUAAAGCUGAUUUCUGUUUUUUUCCCCAAAGAUUUAUUUAUUUAUUUCAAAGGUGGAGUUAGAGAGAAAGAUUUUCCAUCUGUUGUUUCACUCCCCAAAUGACUGCAAUGGCCAGGCUGGUCUGAUCCAAAGCCAGGAGCUAGGACCCUCUUACAGGUCUCCCAUGUGGGUACAGUGGCCAAAGAACUUGGGCCAUCUUUUGUGGCAUUCCCAGGCACACUAGCAGGGAGCUGGAUCAGAAGUGAAUCAGCUGGAACUCGAAUUGGUGCCCAUAUGGGAUGCCAGUGCCCAGGCUGUGUCUUUUCCCACUGUGUCACAAUGCUGGCUAAUCCCUUAAUCUUCAUUUGCUAUCCCUAUACUUCUCUUUCUCUGAGGUCCUCCAUGUCAGUAUGUCACAUUGCCAGCCACCUUGUUACUCAAACCCAGAGUGUUAACUCAGAGAAUGAUUCCCUUAUUCUGAUACCUUACCCUAAUUCAUCAGCAAAUCCUUUGCCUUUACCCCUAAAACAUACCAUAUAUAUGACUAUUUUCUUUUCCUGUUACUACUUUUUACCUAAUUGAAAUCACUUUCAGCUACUAGCAUUAUGUCACAAUGGGUUAAGCCACGGUUUGGGACACCCGAAUCCACAUCAGAGUGCCUGUUUCUAGUCUGGGUGCUCUGCUUAUCAUUAGCUUCUUGCUAAUGUGCCUGAAAUACUGCUAGUGAUGGCCCAAGAGUUUGGAUCCCUCCCACCCCUGUGACAUGGAAAUGGAUGGAGUUCCUGGUUCCUGGAUUCGGCGUGGCCCAGCCUCGGCUAUUGUGGGCUUAUGGAGAGUGAACCAAGAGAUGGAAGAUCUCUUGCCCAUCUCUCUCUCUCUCCACACCCCCUUCUUUCCCUCCCUCUCCUUCUCUAUGCCUUUUAAAUAAAUAAAUGAAAUCUUUUAAAAAAAUAAAAUCAAUCACCAUCAGUUCUUAUCUGGUGUGUUGUGGUAUCUAGUUUGCUCUCCCUUUCCAUUCUUUGUUUUGACAAGUUGUUGCCUAUGCCCCUGUGCUUGAAAAAUCUCAACUGUCAUCUUCUUAAAAUUAAUCAUUUUUUUAAAAAUAAUGCUAGCACAUUUCCAUGUAGGAUCUCUGGGAGAACACAGAUCAUAUGCUCCCAGGCAUUGUUGCCUCUCUAAGGAGCAACAAGAAUGCAUUUCUCUCUGGGAUGAUUGGCAUCGAUCCUGUUGCUGUUUACCAAUGGGCAGCUCGCUGAGCUUUUUUCAGAGCUGUGGUUGCACUCAGAGAAGCUGGGAAAAGACACAUCCAGAGGAAAACUGAAAUUAUGGGAUAUGUACUCUACAGAAUACUAUACAGCAGGAAAAAAAAAGAAAUCCAGUCAUUUGCGACAAAAUGGAGGAGUCUGGAAAACAUCAUGCUGAGUGAAAUAAGCCAGUCCAUAUGUUCUCCCUGAUCGGUGACAACUAACUGAGCACCUAAAAGGAAACCUCCUGAAGUGAAAUGGAUACUAUGAGAAACAAUAUGUGGAUCAGCCCUUGUGAAACGACAUUGAUUUUUGCAGAUUGAUCUUAUCUCUGGGAAUUCUGCUGAACUCAUUUGUUAAUCUCACGAGAUCUUUCUGGAUUCCUUAGAAAUUUUCUAGAUUGUUAUUUCAGGCACAGUGACAGAGAGAUUGAGUGACAAAAAGCAAAAAUUCAUCCAUCUUCUGGUUUGCUCCCCAAAUGGCUGCAACUGCUAGGGCUGGGCCAGCUCCAUCACCGUCUCCUAUAUAUAAUCCAAAAAAGUCCCAGAUCACCUCUUUCUGAUCUCCAGGGCAUGCAUGCUCUGAAUGAAAAAAAAAAAAAAAAAAGCAGUGAGUGUGUUUUCUUUAUGUUGUCAGGAAUGUAAAAGAAGUAAAUUUAAAAAAAAAGCAGUAAUUAAAAACAGCAGAAUUAAAAAAAGAGCAAAGUAGACUUCAAUGAACAGAACUUUCAAAAUAUUCUGACCAGGUGAAGGGAGAAUCAGAAGAACUCUUCUGUGGCCCUGGCCGAGCACUUGCAGGUGAAGGGAACUUUGGAGAAGGAGGUUGGACUCAUCUGGGCUCAUCUGAGAGAAAAGGAAGAGGAGAGCCAACGUAGAACUGAAGACGUCUCCAAACUCCAGUCCGAGGUUCAGAGGACUCAGCAAGCAUUAAAACAGUUGGAAACUAGAGAGGUAGUUGAUUUGUCUAAACACAGGCAAUGAAAAGUGAUUUGGAGGCACAGAUUGCUACUUAAAUGAAAGACUGGCCAAUCUGAAUAGAAAGUAUGAGGAAGUCUGUGAGGAGGUUUUGCAUGCCAAAAAGAAAGAGCUGCCCACAAAAGAAGAGAAGGAAUUUCUACAUUUCAACCUGGAGCAGGAGAUCAAGGAUCAGAAGGAACAACAGCUGCAGAGAAGAAUUCAAGAAUCUGCUAAAACACUUGAAGCCAAAGAU